rnacentral:misc_RNA from 1 species
GAUGAAGAACGUAGCGAAGUGCGAUAAGUAAUGUGAAUUGCAGAAUUCAGUGAAUCAUCGAAUCUUUGAACGCACAUUGCGCCCCUUGGUAUUCCGAGGGGCAUGCCUGUUCGAGCGUCAUUAUAACCCCUCAAGCUCAGCUUGGUGUUGGGGCCUGCUGCACUGGCAGCCCUUAAAAUCAGUGGCGGCGCCAUCUGGCUCUAAGCGUAGUAAUUCUUCUCGCUAUGGAGUCCUGGUGGAUGCUUGCCAUCAACCCCCAAUUUUUCUAUGGUUGACCUCGGAUCAGGUAGGGAUACCCGCUGAACUUAAGCAUAUCAAUAAGCGGAGGA